rnacentral:rRNA from 1 species
GACGAACGCUGGCGGCGUGCCUAAUACAUGCAAGUCGAGCGGAUGAUGAAGAAGCUUGCUUCUUCUGAUUUAGCGGCGGACGGGUGAGUAACACGUGGGCAACCUGCCCUGUAGAUUGGGAUAACUCCGGGAAACCGGGGCUAAUACCGAAUAAUCCAUUUCCUCACAUGGGGAAAUGUUGAAAGACGGUCUCGGCUGUCACUACAGGAUGGGCCCGCGGCGCAUUAGCUAGUUGGGGAGGUAACGGCUCACCAAGGCGACGAUGCGUAGCCGACCUGAGAGGGUGAUCGGCCACACUGGGACUGAGACACGGCCCAGACUCCUACGGGAGGCAGCAGUAGGGAAUCUUCCACAAUGGACGAAAGUCUGAUGGAGCAACGCCGCGUGAGUGAAGAAGGUUUUCGGAUCGUAAAACUCUGUUGUGAGGGAAGAACAAGUACGAGAGUAACUGCUCGUACCUUGACGGUACCUCAUUAGAAAGCCACGGCUAACUACGUGCCAGCCGCCGCCGUAAUAC